rfam:Schistosoma mansoni strain Puerto Rico chromosome 7, complete genome
AUCCAGCUGAUGAGUCUCAAAUAGGACGAAACGCGCGUCCUGGAU